GGGUGUUUUGGAUGUGGUGAAAUGUGUAUGGAGGUUGUGAGUGAUCAAUAAGGGAUCAGUCACUCCUAAUAAAGAGAGUGAACAUCCUAUGUGAUCUCAUAGGUUGGUAAUUCUGAAAGUCUUUGGCCAAAGUAGGAUGAUAAUUAGAAAAAAGUUUAUAAUGUAUCAUCAACUGAAUCUUACCUUCUGAUCGAGAUAC
rnacentral:lncRNA from 1 species